rnacentral:rRNA from 1 species
UGGGGAAUAUUGCACAAUGGGGGAAACCCUGAUGCAGCGACGCCGCGUGAGCGAUGAAGUAUUUCGGUAUGUAAAGCUCUAUCAGCAGGGAAGAAAAUGACGGUACCUGACUAAGAAGCCCCGGCUAACUACGUGCCAGCAGCCGCGUAAUCUCGAUCU